GAUGUUUAAACUUGAAAUAUCAGGAAUUUGUGAGGACUUAGUGUUUGGUCUGGUCAGGGUUGCUCUUUGCUGAUCUAGGUAGAUCUUUGGAGUUCUUGAGACACUUGGUCCUGCUGCAGCCAGGCCGCUCUUGGUCGGCAAUGGUGUUAAACCAUCAGGCAGUCUCAGGAAGAGAGCAGACAUCUGUUCCUGCCUUGGCCCGGCUACUCUUUACAAACAGUGGUGCAAGUCAUGUAACAGUCCCCGGAGUAAUAACCUUCAGAGAGGCAGACCUGCCUGCCAGCCCCUGUGCUGUCACCCGCAGCAGCGAGGACGUAAGCCAGCAGGUGAUACCCAGCCGUUGGUUGGAAGGAUUGACUCUACCAAGAACCAACCUGUAGAAAGGAAAUUGUUCAUAAAACAACAUUCUCAUGUACUCAGAGAACUAAGAUAUGCCUUUCGUGGCCUCAGUGGACCUCUCCCAAGAGGUGUAGGAAGCUGAUUCUGUAUGGCUACCAGGUGACACCAGAGACAGCUUGGCCUGAGAGGGGGUACUAAUGCUCCAGUUCCCUGAGGCUCAAGGGCCCUGGACUUGGUGGUGGGGAGAAGAUGCUCUGAGACACUCCAUCCAAACUCCCUCACAAAACUAAAAAUGAUUCUUCAGAGCCCGGGUUAGACCUCAUUAGGGCAGAUUCACUUUGAUGCAGGCUCUUUAUCACAAGAAGAUUCUAGACUCCAAACAUUAACCUCUUUGUGUGAAGCAAUGAAUGAUUCAACACAAUCAAAGCACAGGACCACGGAAGCAUCACGGCAUUUAUUACCUCAAAGACAUUUUGGAAUAAGCUCGCCAAGGACAGAGGUACUUGCUCCCCAUCAACGGAGUUGUCCCAGCCAAGGCUGGAAGUAUACAUAUUUGGCACACUGAAGAAGGGACAGCAACUUCGGGUGACAGCCCUCCUGCAGCGCUGCACAUCUGGGAUUUUACAGCCAUCUUGCCCGAGUCUAUCCUCGUAAGUACAAGAAACCUCCUGAAGAGCUGUCUGGUGGCUCUGGUGGACAGAGGUGCUUUUUCAUUUUAGAGGGUGAGUCAAUCUUCUGGCUUUUCCACCUGCUGGUGAGCAGUGAGCAGUGGACCUGACCUUCAGAAAUGUCAAUAGCUGAGUGAAAGCCGCUCUCCUCAGGAAACACAGUCAUGUGGACCUUUGACCUCUAAGCAGGGGAAACACGGUAAUUCAUGGGUUAGACCCAGAUCCACUGGUGAGCAGAUUUCCCAUUAAUCACACAUGGUCUCUGACCUCUUUGGUAGACACUCCAACUUCUUAAUCCAGUGACCACAGCUAUUGGCUCCUGCUACAGACUGAAUGAUUGUGUCCCUCCCCAACAAAUUCAUGUGUUGAAAUCCUAACCCCUAAUGGUUGGUAUCAGGAGGUGAGACUUUGGGAGGUGACUAGGUCAUGAGGGCAUGGGAUUUGCACCCUGAUCAAAGAGGCCCAGAGAGCUCUCCUACACUUUCUGCCACGUGAGGACACAAGGAGAAGAGGGUCGUCUGUGACCCAGGAGGCAAGCCCUUUCAAGACACCACAUCUUGGACUUCCAGCUUCCAAGACAUGAAAAAAAAAUGUCUGAUGUUUAUAAGUCACUCAGUCUAUUGCGUUCUGUUACAGCAGCCUGGACGUACUAAGACAGUCCCUCAUUCCUUGUUCUCUCUGUGGGACUAUUGGUGACAUAACUCUUUCCCAGAGUUCACUGCCACACUCAGCAAAGCUGUUUUUAGAAGACAGAAUAAGGGGGCACCUGGGUGGCACAGCGGUUAAGCGCCUGCCUUCGGCUCAGGGCGUGAUCCCGGCGUUAUGGGAUCGAGCCCCACAUCAGGCUCCUCCGCUAUG